UUGAACGCUGGCGGCAUGCCUUACACAUGCAAGUCGAACGGUAACGCGGGGCAACCUGGCGACGAGUGGCGAACGGGUGAGUAACAUAUCGGAACGUGCCCAGUAGUGGGGGAUAGCCCGGCGAAAGCCGGAUUAAUACCGCAUACGACCUACGGGUGAAAGGGGGGGAUCGCAAGACCUCUCGCUAUUGGAGCGGCCGAUAUCAGAUUAGGUAGUUGGUGGGGUAAAGGCCCACCAAGCCGACGAUCUGUAGCUGGUCUGAGAGGACGACCAGCCACACUGGGACUGAGACACGGCCCAGACUCCUACGGGAGGCAGCAGUGGGGAAUUUUGGACAAUGGGCGCAAGCCUGAUCCAGCCAUGCCGCGUGCGGGAAGAAGGCCUUCGGGUUGUAAACCGCUUUUGUCAGGGAAGAAAUCUCUUGGGCUAAUACCUCGGGGGGAUGACGGUACCUGAAGAAUAAGCACCGGCUAACUACGU
rnacentral:rRNA from 1 species